rnacentral:lncRNA from 1 species
AUUAUCCAAUUCCUAACUUUCAAAUCCACCGUCUUCAUCUCUCCCACUCUCGGAAAAUCUGUUCCUGUCAAGCUCUCAAUUACCAGACCAAAACAAACCACCACUUCCUAAACAAGAAAGACUUUUUCUUUUCCUCUGCAACAACAAACAGUUGCAGCAAAGAGCAAGAAAACAAGAAAACCAACAAUACCAAUUCAUACCCACAUCAAAAUCAUGCCUUUGUUACUGAAUUUCAUUCUUCAAAUAAUGAGGAUGUUGAGAAUAGGGUAAUUUCAACAAACAUGUGGUGGGCAGAUUUGAAAGCAGCCGUAGG